ACACAGAGGAAUUAGUGAGAAACGUGAGAAGUGGUAGAGACGAAGACCCGAUGAUCGGUUUCUUCGAGAUUGGAAAGGGAGAGAGACAUUCAAGCGGAAUGGAGGUCCUCCAGUGGUGUUAGAUCCAAAUUUGCAUCAUGGCCGAUGACAGGGUGGGAUUAGUUUCCCUGAAGCUUUGAAUCCUGUUCUUAAUUUGUCUAGAGAGAGUGGUGAAAAGCGAAUCCACCGACCGAAAAGAGUUGGAGUGCAAGCGAGAGUUCCUUUCAUUCCAUGUCCAGUAGAUUGUUCAUUUCCAAGCUAAGAGGGGUUGAAUUCCACACUUUCUAGCGCUGAGGGACCAUAAAUCAAAGCUGAAAGGGCAGUCGUGGAAGAGAUGAUCGCGAGAUUCAGAGUGGGAAUUACAUAAGAGACAGAGCGGUGAAACCUGCAAUCCCCAACUGAUGAGCCUAUCUCUAGUGGGGCACCUGUUCUUGACAACCAACCAAGCUAAAAAACAGUGUCUAGGGAUCCCAUAUGAAGACCAUAUCGCAUUUGCCCAGUUUACUUCAUCAAUGUCUCCACAGAGGAGGAAGGCGCCAAUUUCCAUUGCUGCAGAUAGAAGCAACCGUAGCUUUAAGAGGGAUUCCCAGUCUUGACGAUGAGUGUUGGAGGAAAGUUGAUAAACUGCCAAAAGGAGUCCAAUUGUCAAACCAGAACCUGGCCGAUAGUCCAUCCUGCAGCUUUAGUUUGAUGAGUGGGAACACCACCUCCUUAAGCUUUAGAAGCUUGUUUGCUAGCCAAGAGUAGGAGCUGUUAGGUUGCAACCCAAAUAGAUCCUGCUCUAAAGAACAGCCUCCAAAUCAGCUUCAGACAACAAGCUUUGUUCCAAGUGUGCAGAUCCCUUAUCCCCAAUCCACCCUGAUUCUUUGUAAGAACAACUGUAUCCCAUGCAACUCUAGCUGUGUUAUGACUUUCAAUAUCUCCUUUCCAUAGAAAGACACUACACAUAGAGUUGAUUCUGUUGAUACAUGCUUUUGGCAAGAUAAACGCAGAGCACCAGAAAGUAGUGAUACCCGAGAUCACUGUUUUUAUUAGGAGGAGUCUACCCGAGAAAGAUAGUGACUUCACAGACCAAGAAGAGAGCCUUGUCUUAAUUUGAUGAAUGAGAGGUUCACAGCUGGUGAGAUUUAACUUUCUGGAGCUUAAAGGCAUUCCUAAGUGAAAUGGACUUUUCAAAGGUCCAAUAAUAAAAUCAUUAUAGUAAUUAAGAUGUCAAUCUAUUUCUAAGAAUUUUGAAUCAAAGAGAAUUCAGGUUUUUAAUUAA